AGUGAACGCUGGCGGUAGGCCUAACACAUGCAAGUCGAACGGCAGCACAGUAAGAGCUUGCUCUUACGGGUGGCGAGUGGCGGACGGGUGUGGUAUACAUCGGAAUCUACUUUUUCGUGGGGGAUCAAGUCGGGAAACUUACGCUAAUACCGCAUACGCCCUACGGGUGAAAGCAGGGGAUAUUAGGACCUUGCGCGAUUGAAUGAGCCGAUGUCGGAUUAGCUAGUUGGCGGGGUAAAGGCCCACCAAGGCGAAGAUCCGUAGCUGGUCUGAGAGGAUGAUCAGCCACACUGGAACUGAGACACGGUCCAGACUCCUACGGGAGGCAGCAGUGGGGAAUUUUGGACAAUGGGCGCAAGCCUGACCCAGCCAUGCCGCGUGUGUGAAGAAGGCCUUCGGGUUGUAAAGCCCUUUUGUUGGGAAAGAAAAGCAGCAGGUUAAUACCGCGCUGUUCUGACGGUACCCAAAGAAUAAGCACCGGCUAACUUCGUG
rnacentral:rRNA from 1 species